AUUGAACGCUGGCGGCAUGCUUUACACAUGCAAGUCGAACGGUAACAGGUUAAGCUGACGAGUGGCGAACGGGUGAGUAAUGCAUCGGAACGUGCCCGGUCGUGGGGGAUAACACUUCGAAAGAAGUGCUAAUACCGCAUACGAUCUGAGGAUGAAAGCGGGGGACCGUAAGGCCUCGCGCGAUCGGAGCGGCCGAUGUCAGAUGAGGUAGUUGGUGGGGUAAAGGCUCACCAAGCCGACGAUCUGUAGCUGGUCUGAGAGGACGACCAGCCACACUGGGACUGAGACACGGCCCAGACUCCUACGGGAGGCAGCAGUGGGGAAUUUUGGACAAUGGGCGCAAGCCUGAUCCAGCAAUGCCGCGUGCAGGAAGAAGGCCUUCGGGUUGUAAACUGCUUUUGUACGGAGCGAAAAGGCUCUCUCUAAUACAGGGGGCUCAUGACGGUACCGUAAGAAUAAGCACCGGCUAACUACGUGCCAGCCGCCGCGGUAAGAC
rnacentral:rRNA from 1 species